AACGAACGCUGGCGGCAGGCCUUACACAUGCAAGUCGAGCGCCCUGCUUGCAGGGAGCGGCGGACGGGUGAGUAACGCGUGGGAACGUGCCCUUUAGUUCAGAAUAGCCACUGGAAACGGUGAGUAAUACUGGAUACGCCCUUCGGGGGAAAGAUUUAUCGCUAAAGGAUCGGCCCGCGUUGGAUUAGCUAGUUGGUGGGGUAAAGGCCUACCAAGCCUACGAUCUAUAGCUGGUUUUAGAGGAUGAUCAGCAACACUGGGACUGAGACACGGCCCAGACUCCUACGGGAGGCAGCAGUGGGGAAUCUUAGACAAUGGGGGCAACCCUGAUCUAGCCAUGCCGCGUGAGUGAUGAAGGCCUUAGGGUCGUAAAGCUCUUUCGCCUGUGAUGAUAAUGACAGUAGCAGGUAAAGAAACCCCGGCUAACUCCGUG
rnacentral:rRNA from 1 species